rnacentral:lncRNA from 1 species
AAAAAAUUGUUAUAAUAACUAUUUUUACAUUUAAAAAGGCAUUGUACAUGAAUGUACAGUAUGAAAAAUGGAUACGUAUUCCUUUUGUAGUAUUAUUAAAGUAUUUUUGUACUUUUUUAACAUAAAGAAAAUUAAUGUAACUAAUUUUUAUCCAUAAACAAAGAGCAUGUCAACAAAAGUGGGGUUUUGCUCUCAGACAAGAACCCGAAUGGAAGCAUUUUUGUUUAAUAGCACGACUUAAGCUGUAAACUGAGGGUAAAGGGCUUUGGUGCUUGUGGCUUACAGUCAUCUCUUGUUCUAUGUGGCGGAACAUCUGCUCUCGCUGCUGCUGUUAGUUUCUGCUCCGCUGGGCAUGUUCUCUCUGCUCUUCUCUCUGCAAGAGUUUCAAUGCAUGCAGUUCCUGCCGUCUGCAAUCACCCAAGAAGAUAUGAAUGUGACACGUCUAUUUUUUUAUGUCUACUAUAAAGCAUAAAGAUUACCUGUUGUAGCGCAUUUGUUGCUCCUUCUUGUCCCCCUCGUUAACCACUUUGGAAGUGGUAACACUGACCUCACGGCCAUCCACCAUAAAUUUACGUGUCCUUUUUACGGUUCGCCUGCUUGGGUGCAAUUCCUGAAUUAAUACAAAAAGAGAAAAAUAUGUGCAUGUUGAAUUUGUCUGGUUGUUUAUAGUUAGUCAUUUGUUUCAGACUUACCACUUCAAACCCAGGAGACAGUGGAGCCUCAGUAGGGGAAAGAGGUGCAAUAAUGUCUUCAUUAGAUUCCUGUGGUGUGGAUCCAUUAGAUUCAUGAGGUGGUAUUAAGUCUAAAUUUUCAAGUCAUUUGCAAGUGGCCUUUCUUGCUCAUUUUGUCUUCUUGAACUGCAACAUCUCUUGCUUUUCAGCUUUGCUUCAGGACAUCUGUUGUAUCUUCACCAAGACAUUUUGAUUGCUCUUCUGUACUAUUCUGUAUAUGAUUUAUAUUAGUUUGAAGCUCUUUUUCAGGCUCCUCUUCUUUCUUUUUAGAACAGAUUUCUGUUGGACUUGCUCUGUCUUGAUCACCAGCAGCAUCUCCUUCAUUACCAAUGCUGAUCUUCUCUCCUUCAGAACGGGUGUCUUCUUUAUUUUGACAUGGUAUCUCUGGCAUUUCUGAAUCAAUGUUCGUCUCAUCUUGGGUUGGUAUUUCCAUCUCCUCAUCAGAUUUUCUUGUGUUGUCACUGUUUUCAUUUCUUGAGUCUUCAUGAUCAACCUCCAUGGUAACAUCUUCCUUGUUGGAUGAAUGAUCCUCAUCCUCUGUUUCUGUACAAAGAACUUGGUCUUUUUCACAGCUUUCUGUUACUUUAGACUUUUCAUUUCUUGAGUUGACAUCUUCA